UUGCAGUCGAGCGGACAGAUGGGAGCUUGCUCCCUGAUGUUAGCGGCGGACGGGUGAGUAACACGUGGGUAACCUGCCUGUAAGACUGGGAUAACUCCGGGAAACCGGGGCUAAUACCGGAUGCUUGUUUGAACCGCAUGGUUCAAACAUAAAAGGUGGCUUCGGCUACCACUUACAGAUGGACCCGCGGCGCAUUAGCUAGUUGGUGAGGUAACGGCUCACCAAGGCAACGAUGCGUAGCCGACCUGAGAGGGUGAUCGGCCACACUGGGACUGAGACACGGCCCAGACUCCUACGGGAGGCAGCAGUAGGGAAUCUUCCGCAAUGGACGAAAGUCUGACGGAGCAACGCCGCGUGAGUGAUGAAGGUUUUCGGAUCGUAAAGCUCUGUUGUUAGGGAAGAACAAGUACCGUUCGAAUAGGGCGGUACCUUGACGGUACCUAACCAGAAAGCCACGGCUAACUACGUGCCAGCAGCCGCGGUAAUACGUAGGUGGCAAGCGUUGUCCGGAAUUAUUGGGCGUAAAGGGCUCGCAGGCGGUUCCUUAAGUCUGAUGUGAAAGCCCCCGGCUCAACCGGGGAGGGUCAUUGGAAACUGGGGAACUUGAGUGCAGAAGAGGAGAGUGGAAUUCCACGUGUAGCGGUGAAAUGCGUAGAGAUGUGGAGGAACACCAGUGGCGAAGGCGACUCUCUGGUCUGUAACUGACGCUGAGGAGCGAAAGCGUGGGGAGCGAACAGGAUUAGAUACCCUGGUAGUCCACGCCGUAAACGAUGAGUGCUAAGUGUUAGGGGGGUUUCCGCCCCUUAGUGCUGCAGCUAACGCAUUAAGCACUCCGCCUGGGGAGUACGGUCGCAAGACUGAAACUCAAAGGAAUUGACGGGGGCCCGCACAAGCGGUGGAGCAUGUGGUUUAAUUCGAAGCAACGCGAAGAACCUUACCAGGUCUUGACAUCCUCUGACAAUCCUAGAGAUAGGACGUCCCCUUCGGGGGCAGAGUGACAGGUGGUGCAUGGUUGUCGUCAGCUCGUGUCGUGAGAUGUUGGGUUAAGUCCCGCAACGAGCGCAACCCUUGAUCUUAGUUGCCAGCAUUCAGUUGGGCACUCUAAGGUGACUGCCGGUGACAAACCGGAGGAAGGUGGGGAUGACGUCAAAUCAUCAUGCCCCUUAUGACCUGGGCUACACACGUGCUACAAUGGACAGAACAAAGGGCAGCGAAACCGCGAGGUUAAGCCAAUCCCACAAAUCUGUUCUCAGUUCGGAUCGCAGUCUGCAACUCGUGCAACUCGACUGCGUGCAAGCNGGAAUCGCUAGUAAUCNCAGAUCACC
rnacentral:rRNA from 1 species